CAUCACCUAGUAUGGUGUUGGUUGUGGGCAUCCCAUGUGGGUGUGGAAAUGGGUGUAUUGUGGGUGCCUUAUAUGGUUCCAAUUCUAUCUCAUAUAGGAGUCUUUCUUUCAUAAGUAUUAGACUGAUUCAAAAUAUAUUUGAAUUAGGAGUCCUAUACUCAUUAGGUCAUAGAAAUUAUCUAUAAAUAGUGAGGGUCUCUAUCUAUGGAUGCAAAGAAAAUAAAUCAAAUUGAGAGAAGAGAGAAAGAGAGAG
rnacentral:lncRNA from 1 species